rnacentral:lncRNA from 1 species
CUUCCCUCUCACUGAAUACACGACAGAAAUGAGGCACCAAGGAAAAAGCUAUAUCCCUUCGCUAGCCACAGCAGCUCCCCAGCUGCAAAGGUGAAGUUUGAGUGGCUCAAGAAGGUCAUGGGAAUCCUCUGGUCUGUACAGCUGCUCCUCUGAGAUGGAGCAUGCCAACUGGCCACAGGGCCAGAGCAUUUGUACGUCUGCAUGACCAUGCUGCUCUCACUUGGCCAUUCAUCAAGGGGAAAGCAUCAACGAACCCCAGGGGGAGGCCUCUGCUGCAGCUGAGAAAAAAUCUCUUCCUUUAAGUUUCCUCACCUCUGCUUCAAUUCCAGCCAUGAACAGAAUGGGGUCUCAAGGAGGAAUUGUCAUUGUGAGAGUCAGGGAGACCCUGUUCUGCAAACACAAAAUCCCUCAGCACUCGAAACCACUGGCUACACGCACAGACACCCACCGUCGCGCUCAGCGUUUGGCUCCUUCUGCCGCGUCUGCGGCAGCUUGGCAGUUCUCAUAUCUGAUGGAUUAGUGCUGAUCUGCACUGAUUGCUCACACCUGCAAUUCAAACUAACCCCUGUUCCGCUUUGUGCAAUCAGCCAUGCCCAGGUAAGACCAUCAGCUUCCCAAAUGACAGGCAAACAGAGACCCACCUGACAGGUCCGACCAGACACCUGUGAGAUCUGCAAAGUGGGAAGGAAGGGG